UUCUCACCAACCUAAAAAGACAUACACAAGGCCUAUCUCGGACCUUGUGCUUCUCCUGGCUUCUGGGGAGUAACAGGAAAGAGAAGAGAGGAAGUAGCUAAAUGUGGCAUCAUUAAUGACGCCAGACGGGGAGUGUCAUGGAACACAAAUAGGAAUGUAUUAGCAGUUAGAAGCCAGCUUUUAUUUUGAAAUGUACUUUGAAAGAGAUGGCACUUCCUUUGUGGCUAUGACCACUUCCUUAAGUUCCAGGAAGUAUUUUUACACAUGGACACUAAUGCAAUAAGCAUGUAAUGGGAGCACUCGCUCCAGAAUCCCCAUCCAUCCUUCGUUCUAAGCCCUAAACGUGUCAUUAUCAAACAUGAUGAUGGUGGAUGUUUGAAACGUACAUGAAACCUGCAACAAAUUAUAAAGGCUUAUCCGACAUCUGUAGACUCUUUACUCCCAAUGUAUGGACACAACUGAGUGGCAAAAAUAAAGGAUAUGGUUUACAUCCCA